GGUCAAGUUAUUAAGGGUGCAGGGCGGAUGCCUUGGCACUAGGAGCCGAUGAAGGACGUGAUAAGCUGCGAUAAGCUUCGGGGAGUUGCACGUAAACUUUGAUCCGAAGAUUUCCGAAUGAGGAAACUCACUUAGAGUAAUGUCUAAGUAUCAUUAAGUGAAUACAUAGC
rnacentral:rRNA from 1 species